rnacentral:tRNA from 1 species
GCGGGGGUAGCGAAGCCUGGUCAAACGCGCAGGACUCAGAAUCCUGUUCCUAAGUGGAUCCGAGGGUUCAAAUCCCUUCCCCCGCA